GACGAACGCUGGCGGCGUGCUUAACACAUGCAAGUCGAACGAUGACGACCGAGCUUGCUCGGUCUGAUUAGUGGCGAACGGGUGAGUAACACGUGAGCAACCUGCCCUUCACUCUGGGAUAACCUCGGGAAAUCGGGGCUAAUACCGGAUAUGAGCUCCUGUCGCAUGGCGGGUGUUGGAAAGUUUUUCGGUGAAGGAUGGGCUCGCGGCCUAUCAGUUUGUUGGUGGGGUAGUGGCUCACCAAGGCGAUGACGGGUAGCCGGCCUGAGAGGGCGACCGGCCACACUGGGACUGAGAUACGGCCCAGACUCCUACGGGAGGCAGCAGUGGGGAAUAUUGCACAAUGGGCGAAAGCCUGAUGCAGCGACGCCGCGUGAGGGAUGACGGCCUUCGGGUUGUAAACCUCUUUCAGCAGGGAAGAAGCGAAAGUGACGGUACCUGCAGAAGAAGCGCCGGCUAACUACGUG
rnacentral:rRNA from 1 species